GGCUUUGCUUGGCUGUCCUGUGAUACGGAGAUGACCUUGGGCAAAUGGCUUUGGCUGUCGGUGCCUUCCUCUUAUCCAGUGAGGCGAUAUCACUUCUCUCUUCUCUGCAGAUCUGAGGCUGGUGGAUGGACCAGUAAUCCACUGGAUAAUCCUCCCAGGGCUUUAUUUCAACCCAGCUCAUGAGGGUCCUGGUAGCCAAUAGGCUGAUCUAAGGCUGACCGUGAGCUAGCAGUGUGCCCUGGUGGCCAGGAAGGCCAAUGGGACCCCGGGAUGCACUGCACAGAGCAUGGCCAGCAGGGCCCAGUGCUGGGCUCCCCAUUUCCAGGCAGACUGGGAACAGCUGGGAGGUGGUGAGGGCCUGGAGCACCUCCUGGUGGGGACAGGCUGAGAGCUCUGGGGCUGUGAACAUGGAGUAGAGAAGGCUGAGAGAGGGGAUCUGAUCAACAGCAAGCUCUUUCGAUGCUUGGCAUCUCGUUUUUCCUUGACUUCUUAUUCUCAAUAUAAAUCAACUGAAACGUUUUCUGGUUUCUCCGCAGCAGAUGCAGCACAAAAUGACCACAGAUGAGUCACUGGGUUGUCUGAACAUGCAAAGCAUUUUGAGCUGAUGUUCCUCAUGAUGCGGCUUCCCCAUCGCAUUCUUGUUGCCUCACAUUUCUGUGGGGAAAUGUUAGCUGCUGGCAUGGGGAUCGCAAAGUGCCAGGAGCAGCUGCUCCCAUGGGAGGUGACAAGCUGUAUUUGGGACCUUACCUUCAUAGAAUCACAAAGGUUGGUUGGUUGUCAAGUCCGACUGCCAACCCAUCCCCACCUUGCCUGCUAAGACCUUGCAUGGGGAAGGACUGGAGCUGUGGCAGCAGCACUCAGGCUGAUUCAUCACAUUGUUUGGGGGGGAGAUUUGGGGUUUUUCUACCUCAAAUCACCCGGUGGCAAUGCUGAGUGGGUGCAGACAGCUGCCAAGCCUGGGCUGAACUGAGGCAGAACACUGAGCUUCUCAUCCCGUGGGGAUUCUGAACUGCUUUUUCUCCUCAGGAUUUGUUUGUUCUGUGCUUCCUGUCUUUUGUCAUUAGUUUGAAGGAACAGCAAGUCACUAAUUGUGGUGCUGGUAAAAGAGAAGUUCCCAGAGCAGUGUGGGUGCUCCAUCCUGGAGCUGCCCGUGGCCAUGGAUGGGAUCUGGGUGGCAUGAGCUGGUGGGGGGGGGACCCAGCCCAUGAAAGGAGUGGGGCCAGGGGGCUUUGGGGUCCCUUUCCACCCAACUGUGCUGGGAUUCUGUGAUCUUGAAGGACCCUUCCAAUCCGACCAUACUGGGAUUCUAUGGACUUGAAGGACCCAUCCAACCCAACCAUUCUAUGCUUCUGAAGGGAUUCCUGUUCAGUCCUGUAACUGAAGUAUUGUACAGCAGGGAGAUAGCUUUCCCCCAGACAGACAUACUUGCAUAACCACAGAGCUGUGCCAAGCAGAAUUUAGGAUCCCCCAAACAAGUUCAAGUGCCCUUCAAAGCAUCUUUGAGUAAUUUGUCCUCUGUCUUCCUCCAGGACGUGACAAAUGUCACAGCACCAUCACUAGGAUCAAACAACCUGCUCUUUUGGUGAUUUCUCUGUUUUUUGUGGAUUUUUAUUUAUUUAUUUUUUUUUGGUAUGGCAGUUUGGGAGUAGAAAUCACUUUUUUUUCUCCUUACAGGAGUAGGGGGAGAGUGGCGUGUUGGCCUUCGUUUUGGGUAGAGAUGGAUGCUGCCACAUCCUCGCUUCUUCCUUGGAGUUGAUUUAGGGCCAUUCCUGAUGCAGAUCCUUGGCACUUCCCUGUGUGUUGUCAUGGAAAACAAAUUAAAGCCCUUUCCCUUCUGUGAGGAUAGCACUGCCUCUUGGGCAAAUCCAUUCCGGAGUUGUCAGAAUCAGGAAAGAGUUCUGGGUGAAAAUCACCUUUAAGUGCUGCUCCUUUUCACGUGGCUUUUGCUGCUCUCCUUUCCCAUAGGCACAGCCAUCCUUGGCUGAUCUUUGAGCGCUUUAAUGCACAUGCAGCCCCUGAGCCCUCACAUUUCCUUCUCUUUAUUCAGCUUUUGAGAAGCCCUGGACAGAGGGAAAGCACAGAACGUGCUUCAGAGACAAGCAGAAGGAGGGGACACGUGCUGAGAGCCAAGCUGUCUAUCAGGCACCUCCUAGCACAUCACAACGCAUCGGGGCAGAGCCUCAAUUACCACUGCAAGGAUUUUGCUUCCUCAUCCAUCUCACCCAUCCACUCCUUUUGUUUUUUAUCCCCAUGUAAAAUGCAUUCAGGUCGUCACCCACCUCCACCUGCAGAUCGGAUCGGGGAGGCACACAACUGAGAAGAACAAACGUCCAUUUCUUUUUUCUCUCCUUCCUGGAAGUCUUUUGCUUCCACGUAAGGGCUGUGUGCUGUGAUAAUGCAGAAAUGGAUAGUGUUGGGUUUUAGCUAUUUCAGUUACUUAACUGAAGAGUUAUUCUUCACGUGAACUGUUUUGGGAAGCUGCAGCUGUGUAAUUCAGGGGAUGGUUCAUGAGCCUCAAAGGGGUGGUGCUGGAAGGCUUCAAGUGUUGGAUUUUUCUCAUCAGUGUCAAAGAACUGCUGAAACCCAAACCCAAGAUAUUCUGUGGUUCUGCCAUCUUUAAAAUCGCUUCCAACCCAACUGUUCUGUGGCUCUGUACACAGAACCCCACUCUGUGCAACCCCGUGGUGCAAAAGGCAGGAUGUGUUUCCUUGGGAAGGAGCUGCAAACAAACCUGACAGACGUUUAGAGAAAUCCAGCCCCCGUUAUUGGCAGGCACGCUGCCACUGUGAUAAAUGCUGUGAGAUUUGUGCCCAGGGUGUGAAUGACUCACUUACACUUGAUGUGUUGCUGCUCACAGUCUGUGCUUUGUGGGAUUUCCAGGUUUCUGGAGGUGUGAGGUGUGCGCUCGCCGUGGUGUAUCACAAGAGCCAUCCCUUGGGGCUCUCCUCUGACUGAGACAGUAAUGCUGGGAGUGAUGGAGCUCAGAUCUUAAGCUCUGCUGAGCUGCAUGGAUGGAGUUGGAAGUUUGUGGGGCUAUGGAUGCUUCUUCCUGCAGUGUUUGGGUUGUGUAAGGGAGCUUGUCCGAGCUCAUAGAUCCAUAGGGCCUUCCCAUGCUGCUGUGCUGUACUUUCACUUCAGCCAUCCAUUGGUUUUGUCCAUGAAGGAGAGAAUCAUGGAAUGAUUGGGUUGGAAGGGUCCUUCAAGGUCACAGAACCACAGAAUGGUUGGAUUGGAAGGGUCCUUAAAGAUCACAGAGCCAUAGGAUGGUUGGGUUGGAAGGGCCCUUCAGGGUCACUGAGUGCUUGGGUUGGAAGAGUCCUUCAAGGUCAUGGAAUGGUUGGGUUGGAAGGGCCCUUCAAGGUCACAUAAUGGUUGGGUUGGAAGAGUCCUUCAAGGUCAUAGAAAGGUUGGGUUGGAAGGGUCCUUCAGGGUCAUGGAAUGGUUGGGUUGGAAGAGUCCUUCAAGGUCAUAGAAAGGUUGGGUUGGAAGGGUCCUUCAAGGCCAUGGAAUGGUUGGGUUGGAAGAGUCCUUCAGGGUCACUGAGUGGUUGGGCUGGAAGGGUCCUUCAAGGCCAUGGAAUGGUUGGGUUGGAAGAGUCCUUCAGGGUCACUGAGUGGUUGGGCUGGAAGGGUCCUUCAAGGUCAUGAAAUGGUUGAGUUGAAAGGGUCCUUCGAGGCCAUGGAAUGGUUGGGUUGGAAAGGUCUUUCAAAGUCAAGGAACACGUUGUGUCUGCAAUAAAUGGGACGCGCUCACUCUGCGUGCAGACCAGAAAGCUGCAGUCACUGCUUUGUGUGUUCCUAUGCCUUAGCCAUGAAGCUUACCCUUUGCUGUCAAGCAGUUUAAUAUUUUUAACAACUUUUUUUUUCCUUUCUAAUGUGACAACAAAGAGAAUGUUCAAAAGGAUAACUGAGCUGAAAGCACGGCGCAGUGAGAUCGUUAUCGGCAAGCAUGGCUGAAUGGCUUUAGGAAGCAUGUGCUUAUUCAUUAACUUUGAAAUCUGCUCAUGAGACCUCUCAGUUCUCCUGGUGGUGUUGGACAGAAACAGAUACUUUGGGAUGGAAAGCUCUUGGUGCAGUAGGUCACCGUGAGGUGGUUGUAGGCUGCUUUGAAGAGGUGGGUCACAGGGAGGUGGCUGUAGGGCGCCGUGGGAUUGUUGUAGGCUGCUGUGAAGGGACUGUAGGCCACCACGAGAAGGUUGCAGGCUUCUAUGAAGAGACUGUAGGUCACUGAGAGAUGGUUGUAGGUCACCACAAGGUGAUUGUAGGCUGUUAUGAAUACGUUGUAGACCACCGUGAGGUGGCUGUAGGUCACAAUGAGGGAACUGUAGGCUGUCAUGAGGCAGCUGUAGGUAAAUGGUGUACUUCUCCAUGUGGCCUAUAUUCAGUUCUUCCAGGAGGCUCAAGCAUAAGAUUUUUUUCUCACUCUUGUUCAGUUCUGUGUGGGGAAGCCCCAUUGCAUGCUGCAGAUGUCAGCACUGCUCUCUGCCACCAAAAUCAGUUGGUUUGGGAUUUCUGAUGCUUGGAAAGAAAAAAGACAUUUUCGGUUCAUGGAGUGAGUGAAACGUGCUCGUUAUCAUUAGCCUGUUCCAAGCACAGUCUGGAUUUGAUGCUUGGUCUGAAUUGAAAGCGACAGUGUAUAUUUCUGAAAUCCAUUUCAGUGUUUAAUGCUCUGUUGCAAAAAAAAAAGAGUCAUUACGGGUAAUGCUACGCCCAUUGGCUUCAGUAACUCUUGUCUCAAAGGCAGCACUCCCAGACUUUGCAUUGUGUCUUUUGCUGUUUUUAUGGCCCGGCUGCUGCAGUUGUGAUCUUGGAUAACAGCCUCAUUCUCUGCUGAACGCUUGAGAAAGUGCUGAUUAGCAGAAAACAGCUUUUAAUUGUGUGCUUGAUGGACUGAAAUAUGGUGGGGGUGAUCUCUUCAUCCCUGUGAUAGAUUUUCAUCUCCCAGUUUGAAGACUGGAGAAGAGUCGUCUGUUGGUAUUCCCUUUAAUUUUCAUAUUUUUGUCUUAAAAAGAGACGAUGAUGCUCUUAAAUAGAACUUGAGAGGUUGGGGAAAGAACAUUUGGGUCGAGGAGUAAUUUUUUUGGAGCAGUUUAGAACAGAGCCGCUUUAUUUCUCGGAGCGGAAUGACGCACGUCUGAACCCUGCACCAAAAAUGACAUUGGCCUCCAUUCGUGUUGCAACAAGCGCUGCUGUCUGGCUGCCUUUGGAUUGUGCUUCAGAGCAAGGUCUGCCUCGAACAACAGGUCUGAACAGAUGGAUAUCUGACCGAGCUUUUCUUGCUCAGUGCCGUGUUCCUCAACGUGACGCCGAGGCCGUUCCUGACCCCGUGGGGCACUUGGAUGCAGUGACGGGCGCAGGGAGCCUGCAGCGAUUUCGACUUGAUUUGCCACGCCACGGGUUUAAUUGCAAUACUCUUGUGUGUGCAAUUAAACACGCUUAACCCUUUGGUGGAGGAAGAGCUUGAUGCGAGCCAGCUGCAGGGAGCCCUUGUUGCAACCUUCCAAGGCUGGGAGGAAGGGAGAUUGCAAGGAAGGGAGAUUGCAAACAGGAGGAGAGCGACUUUGUAUGUGGGCACAGUGCGAUGGGGCACGGGGGAAUGGCUUUAAGCUUAAAGAAGGGGAGGUUGAGGUCUGAUGUAGGGGAUAUUCUUUCCCCUGAAGCGGUGCCCAGAACUGUGGGUGUCCCAUCUUGAAGGUGCCCAAGGCUAUGGAUGGGAGCCUGGGCAGCCUGAGCUGGGGGGCACCCAGCCCAUAGCAGGGGUUGGGCUGGGGGGCUUUGGGGUCCCUUUCAACUCAACUGUUCUGUGGUUCUGUGAUCUUGAAGGACCUUUCCAACCCAACCGUUUGAUGGUUCUAUGAUCUCCUGGGUUAAUAAGCAACAAUUCAGGUAAGAAGAAUUGUCACAGCCAGCUUUUGAUGGAGUUCACAUAGAGUUGUAAAUAAGGUUGGAAGAGGCCUUGAGAUCAUCGAGUCCAGCCACAAACCCACCUCUACCACAGCCAUUCAUCCACGUCCCCACGUGCCACGUCUCCAUGUUUCUGGAGCACCUCCAAGGAAGGUGGCUGCCCCUCCUCCCUGGGCAGCCAGUUCAGUGCAUCACCACCUUUUAGAAGACUUUUUUUCCUAAAAUGGGAUACGUCUGGGGUAUAGCCAGCUCAUGAGAUCUGAGUGCCAAGGGCAAUUUAAAAUACAAAUGCAAGUUUAUAGCUCCUUUUGUGUAUGCACUUCUCCACCUAGAAUCAAAGUUUGUGCGUUGUGACAGGUCUGGAAGACUUAAAACUGAUAUGUGAACAUUGUGACCUGGGUGUAGGCAAGAAGUUGUGGCUUGAAGGACAUCUCUAACCUAAAGACCUGGUUUAUCACAUUUGUUGGUGGCCUUGGUGUUGUUGUUACCAGCUGCAUUGUUUGUGUACACAGUACAACAUUGUUCCUAACGUAUAUAAUUGUUAAGAGAAGGAGUGUGAAUGCAGUCCUGACCUUUAGAAGCAGUUCAGAUCAGCGUUCUGGGACAGAUCCUAAUCUCACCUCUACACAAAACGCUGCAGAGCUGCUGGCUCACAGCUGCGUGCUGGCAUUUGGUUUGUGCCAUUCGCUGCAUGGAAAACAGGCAAAAUUGGCUGGAUCCUUCUUGUUCUGUUUGCUUCGCUGGAGCUCUUUGACAUCUACAUUCUUUGGAAAAGAAUUUCAGCCAAGCAAGAGUUCAGAAAUCCUGGCAGUUUGUGCUUUGAAAUAGGGCCCCAUCCCUGCUGCUGAGGGUCUGCUGGUGUCCCACGUGUGGGGUUGGAGCUGCAUUUGUGCUUCCUAUUCUUCUUUCUGCAUCAGAGCAGUGCAAAAUCUGAUUUAAUUAAACCUGAGGCACUGUCCCUUCAGGCCUGGAGAGAAUCACAGCUCAUUCCCAUUUACUGGGACCACGAAAAUCGCAGCGAGAAGCUGGCUGAGGCUCAGAGUGGUUCUGCUGUCAGCCAGUGUGGCAGCCUUGGUCACUUCCUUCCCACAUUUCCCAUUAGCUUGGACUUUUCACUCAGCUUGCUUUCUUUUUGCAGAGAAACCCGCCCUGUGUUUGCUUCUUCCCACUUCUCCCCAUUAUCUCAGUAGGUUACAUUGAAAUGCGUGGACAUUCUUUGUUCAAAGCAAUGUUAGUUAGAAGCUUUGCUCUUUCAAAUGGCUCCUGUUGCUUUUGCCAUUCUGAGCUCUAUGGAUAAACAACAAGGAGCUUGCAAUGAGCCGGAACCCCAACUGAUGGAAAUCAUGGUUAUGGAACAAUCAGUGUUUUCAUUCUACUGUUUCAAUAAAAGUCCCCCCAAAAAUAAAGGGAAGAAAGGUGAGAAAUGCUAUUUGUUAACAUGAGCUUCUAAACUUAGAGAUGUUGUUCUGUUACAUCUUGAUGCCAGAUUUGGGGGAGGACGUACUGCCUGGUGUGUGUCCCUCCUGGAAGGAGGGGAGCAGCUCGUGUGUUGGGCUCCUAUCAGUAUCUUUUUAAGAAGUGAUAUGUGGAGCAUCUGCUUGAUUCCCAGAGUGAUUCUUUUCAUGAUUAUUUGUUUCCAUAAGGCAUUAGCACAUAAGGGGAUGACUCUGUCUGCAUAGACAGAAGGAAAGAGGAUUUGAGGGGAACACAGAUGAGGGAGAGCUUUGCAGAAGGACACGGAGCGCUCUGCAAAGCACAAACAACAGAGCUUUGGCUAUUAUUUCUUGCUCACAUCGUGAUGAGCUCUGGACUCAGGAUUCAUUUCAAAAAACAGCAUGAAGCAGUCUCUGAUUUUGGGAGGGCUCUGGGACAGCUCACCCUCAAAGCAGCCGCUGCCCGUGGGGACUGAGAGCUUCAACCUUGAGCUCCUCUAGUGGGAGUCCAUCUACUUAUGCCAUGCUUAUUUUUCUGACCAUUUUCUCUCAUUGAACUUGGACAGAAGCAAUACCUGCAGUUCUUGUGACAUUUUUUGUCAUCUGCUGGUGACUGCGUGGAUCGUAGGAUCACAGAAUCAUUCAGGACUUCCAAGAUCAGUCUGAUUUUGUUGAUCAGGGAAGUGAAUUGGGGCAUUUAUUUCCACCAAAGACGGAUGAUCUGUGGUGGAAAAUUGUCCCUGUGAAGUUCCCUGAAUGCAGCUGCGUGGUUCGUUCUGUCUGCAUGUUGUGGAUGGAUUAUUUCUAACUGCGUUCAGUGGUGUUAUAGAAUCAAAGAACUACAGAAUGCUUUGGGUUGGAAGGGUCCUUAAAGAUCAUAGAAUGGUGGGAUGGUUGGGUUGGAACGUCCUUAAAGAUCACAGAAUGAUUGGGUUGGAAGGGUCCUUAAAGAUCACAGAAUGAUUGGGUUGGAAGGGUCCUUAAAGAUCAUAGAAUCAUGGGAUGGUUGGGUUGGAACGUCCUUAAAGAUCACAGAAUGAUUGGGUUGGAAGGGUCCUUAAAGAUCAUAGAGUCAUGGGAUGGUUGGGUUGGAAGGUCCCUAAAGAUCACAGAACUGUGGGAUGGUUGGGUUGGAAGGUCCUUAAAGAUCACAGAAUGAUUGGGUUGGAAAGGUCCUUAAAGAUCACAGAAUGAUUGGGUUGGAAGGGUCCUUAAAGAUCAUAGAAUGGUGGGAUGGUUGGGUUGGAAGGUCUUUAAAGAUCACAGAAUGAUUGGGUUGGAAGGGUCCUUAACGAUCACAGAAUGAUUGGGUUGGAAGGGUCUUUAAAGAUCAUAGAAUGGUGGGAUGGUUGGGUUGGAAGGUCCUUAAUGAUCACAGAAUCAUGAAAUUGUUGGUUUGGAAGGGUCCUAAAAGAUCACAGAAUGAUUGCGUUGGAAGGUCCUUAAAGAUCAUAGAAUGGUGGGAUGGUUGGGUUGGAAGGUCCUUAACGAUCAUAGAAUGGUGGGAUGGUUGGGUUGGAAGGUCCUUAACGAUCAUAGAAUGGUGGGAUGGUUGGGUUGGAAGAGUCCUUAAAGAUCACAGAAUGAUUGGGUUGGAAGGUCCUUAAAGAUCGUUUAGCCACAGACUGGUCGAGUUGGAAAGGACCUUAAAGAUAACAGAACUAUAGAAUGGAUUGGAAGAGUUCUUCAAGAUCAUAUUGCUACCAAAUGGUUGUGUUUGACCCCAAAGCUUCCAGCCCCCCCCUGCUGUGGGCUGGCUGCUCCCCACCAGCUCAGGCUGCCCAGAGUCCCAUCCAGCCACGUCUCACUGUACCUUGCACACAUCACACACGGGUGCAUUUAUUCAAAACACAAAAAUCCCACUCAUAUCUCACAGUUAUUUGGCACUCUGGAUCCAUUUCCUGUAAAGGAUUCAGGAUUUCGAGCAAAUAAAUACCACUUCAGCUCUUGUUCUUGGCUGCUCAGCGCUGUUAUAACUCAGAGAUUGGAACAGAAGCAGAGCUCAGUGUGUUUUGGAAGCCUCAGGAAUGUGGAGUUUGGGCAUCCCCAUGGUUCAGACCCAAACAGCACAGACUGUGGGCGAUCCAGUGCCGGUGCUUGUAUUGCUCAUAAGACAAAGCAUCAACAUCCUUUUAUAAAAUCUGGUCUCGAGUUUGAAGAGUUUGAAAUUAAUAAUUGUGGAGAUGUGGU